GCAAGUCGAGCGCGCCCUUCGGGUACUAGUACAGUGGCGCACGGGUGAGUAACGCGUGGGAAUUUACCUAGCAGUGGGGAAUAACAAUUGGAAACGAUUGCUAAUACCGCAUACGCCCUUAGGGGGAAAGAUUUAUUGCUGUUAGAUAGGCCCGCGUUGGAUUAGCUUGUUGGUGAGGUCAAGGCUCACCAAGGCGAUGAUCCAUAGCUGGUUCGAGAGGAUGAUC
rnacentral:rRNA from 1 species